UUUUUUCCUUUUUUCUUUCUUUUUCAUUUUUUUUUUUUUUCCCCCUUUUCCCUUUGGCACAUGCUCUGGCUUCAGUUGUAUUUGUAACUUGCAAUCUUACCAAUAUGAUCUGGCAAUGCUAUCUGUCUUGAGAGAUCACUCUUCCCCCCGCUUGCUCUGCAACAGCCAGUUCACUCUUAUGAAACAUCCUCCUCUCAUCCACUUGGCUUUGCUCUGCAGAUUCAUGGGGUGUGAACUUUUGAAAGAAUCAGCUCUGCUUAUUCACAUUGAUAACUUUUUUUUUCAGCCAUGCCCCACUAUACCAAUCACUAGCUCCCACAUACAGUAAGAACAGUGCUGCUCAGAAGGCAGAAUGUGGGCUCAGGGCUGGAAGAAAACUCUUCUAUACGACAGUUUCCUCAAGUUGUGUACAGCUGGUGUAUUUGGAGAAAACCAGAUGGACUUCUGGGCACUCAGACCCUUCAUCACGUUCUGUUCAUCAGAAAUUAAUUUGCAAUUACAGCCUGGAGGAUGACCAAGAUUAUGUGAAUGUGUUACAUUAUAUAGUAUACUCUUCAUAUCCUUCUCUGAAAACCAUACAAGGGACAAAGCCAGUGAAUUAGUCUUGAUCUCCACCACAUUAAGCAAGAGCAGCUUCCACCAGGUUUUCAUGGCUGCCAUUGAUUUCCCUCAAGAAAAGAGGAGAGGACCAGUAAAACCUGCCUGCCAGCUUUCUCUCAGGUGGAAAAAAACAUGAAAUUGUGCACCUUCCACAUGCAUAUAGUCAUCUUUUCCAUUAAAAGAAAAUAAAAAUGCAUGGUAAUG